rnacentral:rRNA from 1 species
CCUACGGGAGGCAGCAGUGAGGAAUAUUGGUCAAUGGACGAGAGUCUGAACCAGCCAAGUCGCGUGAGGGAUGACUGCCCUAUGGGUUGUAAACUUCUUUUAUAUGGGAAUAAAAUGUUCCACGUGUGGGAUUUUGUAUGUACCAUAUGAAUAAGGAUCGGCUAACUCCGUGCCAGCAGCCGCGGUAAUACGGAGGAUCCGAGCGUUAUCCGGAUUUAUUGGGUUUAAAGGGAGCGUAGGUGGAUUGUUAAGUCAGUUGUGAAAGUUUGCGGCUCAACCGUAAAAUUGCAGUUGAAACUGGCAGUCUUGAGUACAGUAGAGGUAGGCGGAAUUCGAGGUGUAGCGGUGAAAUGCUUAGAUAUCACGAAGAACUCCGAUUGCGAAGGCAGUUCACUGGACUGCAACUGACACUGAGGCUCGAAAGUGUGGGUAUCAAACAGGAUUAGAUACCCUAGUAGUC